rnacentral:rRNA from 1 species
UUUUCCAGCCAGACCACCUCAGGCUAUGAUUCCAUCAAAGCUCAAAAGCUUUGAGGGCCUUUUUAAAUACUUGGAAAGGAAACCUCUUUGGAAAACUAGGUGUUGAAGAAA